rnacentral:lncRNA from 1 species
GCACAGCACAGACAAGAGCUUGUCAGUCCACAGAGGAGCCUAGAGACCUAUUCCCAUGACAGAUACCAUCCCAUGGGGAGCUGAAUCUAUCAGUGGAUAAGCCAGGUCAGCGAGAAGCAUGCAGGAGUGCUGACGCAGCAUUUCCUGGGAAUGACCUGUGAGACCUGGCCCAUGCACUACGUGAAGAUAAGCUUAGCAUCCAGCAAUCCCAAGAAGAUCAUUUGUGUGGGGUGUAUUUUAAUGGAUUGCCCCUGUUUUUUGCCAGUGGUUUUUGAAAGAGGAAAAUUCUUUAGAAUGAUAAAGACAAUUUAUCGGCAAUAGAAUGAUCAGCAGGCUCCUUAAGGAACGAGACUCCUAUUCUGAACACCAACAGUUAUAUCUACACUUGGACAACAGCGUGGACACCGCCUGUGGGAGCAAUCAUAGUGGCAUAUGCUUUGGAACAGAUCUCAAUUGGAAUUUCAAUGUCCCCUGGUGUACCAAAUGUAACAUUCUGUGGGGUAGAACUAAUGUCAGAACCAGAGACUAACUCCACCUCAAGCCUAAUAGAAAGCAAAGAAAAAGAAAGAAAGAAAGAAAGAAAGAUGCUUCCUGUGCUUCCUGACCACGCGCUGUUAUGGGCAGCUCAUUCUCACACCAUAUGGCUACACCAAAAAUAAAACAAAUUCAAGUUGGACAGAAGGCGGCAAGCACACUGAAAGCAAAGCACGGAACCAAUUAUAGAGUUGGAUCGAGUGCAGAUAUUUUAUAUGCUGUCAGGAUCCUCAAAAGACUGGGAUGGAGACAUUGGGAUCUCCUUCUCCUACACAUUUGAGCUAAUGGACAAUGGUACCCAUGGGUUUGCUCUGACCUAGUGCGUAUGUGAAGAGGCCAAGGAUGCCAUUCUCUUAGUCCUUGAUGAUGUUUAUGAGAAUUUCUGGUCCACCAACAGUGCCAGGAAGGGGGCAAUCACAGUCUCAGCACUGACCAUGCUGUACUUCUUCACAUCUGUCCUUUAA